rnacentral:rRNA from 1 species
AUGAAGUCUCACGACUGUCACGUGCUGAUGACGCAGAUACUUCAAGUUGCAAUCCAUGGGAUCAUCGACGUGCACGUCCGUGAAACGCUAUUUGGCCUAUGCAAUUUUUUCGACGUCAUCUCUCGGAAGUCGGUUGGCGUGAGGCAACUCAGAAGGCUACAGGAAGAUAUCGUGGUGAUACUAUGCGAGCUUGAGAUGUACUUCCCGCCCGCAUUCUUCGAUGUUAUGGUGCAUCUGCUGGUCCAUAUCAUGGAGGAUAUCAUCCAACUCGAGUCGACGUUCGAAAGGAUGAAUCGUGUCAUCAAAGGAUACGUUUGCAACAUGUCACGUCCAGAGGGAAGCAUAGCCAGGGGCUUUCUGACCGAAGAGUGCAUCUCCUACUGCACGAAUUAUCUAGGCAUUGAGAACCCCGUUGGUCUGCCCGUCAACAGGCACCUCCACAGGCUCGCUAGAUGGGGUCACCGCGAUGGUCGCCGCAAAAUGCAUGUCGACAUCGAGGGUCGACUCGCCGACUUUGAAAGAGCAAACCUAGUCGCGCUACAACACAUAGACUUGGUCGAUACUUGGGUAGUAGAGCACAAAACCUUUAUUGAGAAGACGUACAACGACCGAGGCCAACAGAGGACGGACGGAGAGAUAAUCAAAGAGCACAACUCAUGUUUCUCGCAUUGGUUCAAGGAGAAGCUUCUGUCGUACCCUUUACAUGAGGAUUCUUCCGCGGAAGAAAAACUCAUAUUCGCCUUGUAA